UGUCACUCUUAACUUAAAAUAACAAGACAAAUGUCACAGGCCAUUUUGAAAGUUUUUCUCCAGUAAGAACUAAUAACUCUAGAUAACAAAAAAAUUCUAAGAUUGUGGAAAAAAAAAAAAAAAAAAAGUUUUGUGAGCUAAUAGUUAAGUGAUAUAGUAAGAGGGACCAUGCACACUUCCUCUCCUUACUUUUCAGACUUGUAUAUUCUGAUACUCUAAUUAUGGAAGAAACACCACCAUAUAUUACAUUGUGUAGGACAGUACCCCAGCUUCACUGGAUUGUUUUAGAAGAAAACAAAAAUAGAAAAAGUGAAAUAUUUUGCAAUGUUUGGGUACUUCAGAUAUUUCACUGUAUAAAAAAUACAGAAGAAAUUAUUUGGAAUAUUUUCAAUUGAGAAUUCUUCUUCUUUGAUCUUUCACACUAUCAACUAAUUCCAUAAUCAAAUGGUGAAUUUCAGCACUUAGAAGUACUAUCCAGAUAUAUGACUGUUUUCAGAGAGACAGAUCGCCAAACAUAAAGUACAGCAUUUAGCAAUUUACAGCAUUAUUUAUUCUUAUGUAAAAUGGAGUUAUUGAUUCUUAUAUCUAUUAAUAAAUCAGUUUUAUAGUCAUGCAAUCAAGGUUCAGUGAGUUUCUAAUUCAGAAUUGCAGAUACAUUAGACGUGAAAUAUGUUUAAAUUUAAACAAACAGCCCUAGUCGAAACUUGCAUUGCUACCUUCUAUUAAUCUAGAGAUAAAAUUUUCCCUUCUACUAUACAGUACAACCUAUGAUUCUGAACCCCAUAGUACCCACAUCAAGAGAAUAAGCAUAUUUUGAAUAUAUCUACUUUACUACAAAAGAAGUUUUCUAUUUCCUAUACAUGAUUUUCAAUAUUUCUUUUGCUAGACAUUAAUUUAAUACCUGUAUUCUAAUUGUUUAUCUAUGUAUUUCUAAAGAGUUAAACUAUGGAAAGCCCUGCCAAGAGCUGCCACCAUCAGUUACUUCUAGGCUUGUAAAUUAUUGCUUAUGUAAGCUUGCAGACAGAUCAUCUUUAUAGAAUCCUGAUACAAGUGUGUACAUGGGAUGCUUAGUCAUUAUUAUGUAACCAUUGAGCAAUGUAGCAAGAUAAUGCUGAUGGCAUAAUAAAUCCUAUUUAGAAUCCAAAAAUGAGAUCCAGUAUUCUGACUUGAUAAAUGGGAUUUUUUAAAACAAAUGAGGUUAUUUUGCUGGAGUUUCAUGGUGACAUAAUCGGGGUAUAAGAGGGUACUUGCUAAACUCCUAUUCUUUGCUUCCUACAGCCUAGCAAGAUGUUACUCUGGGAGGCAGAAUUUCAUUACCACCAACCCCAGCACAUCUCUAUUUAGGAAGCCAGAGAAACAUGACUCCCUCCAUACCGAGCACCCCUCCACCUCCAGGUUAAUGUCCGCUAGUAUCUUUUACUAGAAAAUAAUUCAUUUAAGCAUACUUUAGUAAACUAGUUUCUCUUACAUUGAUGUGUCCUUGUUACCAAAUAUUAAACCCAGCCCUUGGUAGAACAAAUUUACUAUCACACUCUGAUGCAAAUAGUAGAAACUCAGUGAAAGGUUAUUAAGAAAGUGAAGGAUACAUAAUUAUUAUGCCCUUGAAAGGAUCUUCUUGAUAUCCACGGAAAAUUCACUAGCUUUAUAAGUGUGUCUCGUUUUCAAGUAUUUCCUACCAGAAUACAUUUAGCACACCAUUCUCUGGUUAUUCUUCUUUAAACGAUACAUCUCCUAUGGCACCAUCUCGUCCACAACUUUGAUGACUUUGUUGAGGAGAACAACCCUACUAUUGUGUAUUGAAU
rnacentral:lncRNA from 1 species